AGUGAACGCUGGCGGUAGGCCUAACACAUGCAAGUCGAACGGCAGCACAGUAAGAGCUUGCUCUUACGGGUGGCGAGUGGCGGACGGGUGAGGAAUACAUCGGAAUCUACUUUUUCGUGGGGGAUAACGUAGGGAAACUUACGCUAAUAACGCAUACGACCUACGGGUGAAAGCAGGGGAUCUUCGGACCUUGAGCGAUUGAAUGAGCCGAUGUCGGAUUAGCUAGUUGGCGGGGUAAAGGCCCACCACGGCGACGAUCCGUAGCUGGUCUGAGAGGAUGAUCAGCCACACUGGAACUGAGACACGGUCCAGACUCCUACGGGAGGCAGCAGUGGGGAAUAUUGGACAAUGGGCGCAAGCCUGAUCCAGCCAUACCGCGUGGGUGAAGAAGGCCUUCGGGUUGUAAAGCCCUUUUGUUGGGAAAGAAAAGCAGCAGGUUAAUACCCCGCUGUUCUGACGGUACCCAAAGAAUAAGCACCGGCUAACUUCGUG
rnacentral:rRNA from 1 species